UACGGAGGGUGCAAGCGUUAUCCGGAUUCACUGGGUUUAAAGGGUGCGUAGGCGGGCAGGUAAGUCCGUGGUGAAAUCUCCGAGCUUAACUCGGAAACUGCCAUGGAUACUAUUUGUCUUGAAUACUAUGAAGGUGAGCGGAAUAUGUCAUGUAGCGGUGAAAUGCUUAGAUAUGACAUAGAACACCAAUUGCGAAGGCAGCUCACUGCGCAGUGAUUGACGCUGAGGCACGAAAGCGUGGGGAUCAAACAGG
rnacentral:rRNA from 1 species